ensembl:lncRNA
CCCCACCCCCUCGGUGCCCGGCGGCUCGUGUGCGGCCCAUUUGCCCAGGUCUGGAGGGUUUGGCGGGGCCGGCAGGAAGGAAGCCGCGGAGCGGACGCGGUGGGCGUGUGGGAUAGAGACGACGCGGGUGACCAGGUCGCAGCCGCUGGGCGUGGGCAGGGCGGAGAGCGGAGGACACUGAGGAGCCGGAGUGCACAUGUGAAACGUAUGGCCACUGUUCUGCAGCCGUCCAGGCACGAAAGGUGCUGUCCCGUGAGCCGGCUCGCGGCGACACUUGUGCAGAGCCGGGGAGGCCCGGGACCGCGCGAGCGGCGGUUUCCUUUGGCCAUUAGGCCCCGCCCACGAGGGCAAUUCCGCCGGCUCUAGGACAGGCUCCGCCCACCGCAUGCCUCGGGGGCGGGUCCACUGAGGCUCCGCCCACGGGCCCCACACCUCUCCCUUCGUCCCCGCCCACGCAAGCAAAGGCGCUCGGUCCCGAGCAGGCUCCACCCACCGCGGUCCAGGGUGGAGACCACCGAGUCCCCAGGAGCCCACGUGCCAAGGUUCACGCAAGACCCACCCCCAAGGCCAAGCCGGCUUCCCCGGCAUAGGCACCGCCCACCUUACGUCUUGGGGACUGGAUCCACCGGGGCCGCGCCCGUUUGCUGCGCAUCUACCUGCACGCCCCGCCCAUCGGCCCGGCCCACCGAAGCAAGCCGGCUCUUUCCCGGUUCUGCUGCAACUGGGCGACCCUGGACCGUUGGGAUUUUUGUGGUCUGAUUUGCAUAUGGUCAUAAGUCUGUAAGAAAACUGCAUCAUAGAGACCAGGGAUCACUCGAUUCUCUGCCUUCCCUGGUAGCUCUUUAUCGAGGGAACAGGCUUAGCUCUCUAAUUCGCUACUUCCACUGACCUUUAUUGGACAUCCCAUAUUGAUGGAGCGCGCUAGCAAGUAGACGCUCGCUCACUCGGAUGAUUUAGGAGCUGCCUUCGUCGAACCCAGGGCCUUGAGCAUGCCAGGCAAAUGCCAGGUCCCUCAGCUACAUACAUGCUCAGCCUAAGGCAGUGUAUUUUUUUUUUUUUUUUCUUUUGAGACGGUUUCUCUGUAUUGCUUUGGAGGUUGUCCUGGAAGUCGCUCGGUAGCCCAGGCUGGCCUCGAACUCAUAAUCCUCCUGCCUCUGCCUCUUUCAGCAAAUCCCACUGGCGUGUGCCACCACAACUGGCCAGUGUAUCCUCUUAACCCUUGUUUUUGUUUUGUUUUGUUUUGCCUUUGAAAAUGCCAAGCAAAGCAUUUCGGUUGUUCUCCCCAAAGUGCUGUACGAGAAAACAAACAAGAUCUGAAGGUGCUGAGGGAGGUUCUGAGAGUUUUGUCUGAGGGUGCACCUAGAUAAAAGUAAGCUUCAGGUAGGCAUGCCAGGCCAGAACGGUCGUAUUUGCAGAAGAAACCAUGAUUUCUCUCUUAAGUGGGCUAAUAAUUUCUCUAAAACAAAUGGUUAAAGCACAAAAAAACAAAAACAAACAAAAAAACAGUGCCUGGUAUUAAUUUGACAUUAACAAAAACAAAACAAAAACAAAUGCAACUUAGCAUGGUACAAAUCCCAAUCAGAAAGGAGUAGAUCUGAAGCUAUUGCAUUUGGGCCAUGGAAUGAAAAGGAGUGUGGGCUUCUCAGAGAUUAAGUCAGUGCUGCCAAAGUCCCCGUACCACCGUGCAUGGUCCAGAGUGGCACAUCCUUGAUCCGUUUGACAGACACUUGGCUGUACAUCCCCGAUGCAAACCACUGCACAAAAAACUUUCCUUUUUGGUGGCAGGGAGUCUCCCUUGUCCUCUGGUAAUUUGCAGGCCUGGAUGGAAACAAGAAACCCUGUGUCACCCUGCAGGAGACAAGUCUGCAAGGGAAGCGGUGGGGAUGGUAUAGCCCAGGACACAAUAAAGUGGGGUGCAGGAUGUUUUGCUGCUGGAGAGGAGAUGGGAAGGACAGUCUCUGAUUGGACGGGAACGGCUUGCUGGGGAGCUGGGCUUGCCUCCCAGUGCAGCGAGGAUGCUAGAGUUUAGCUGGAUAUGAACACCUUUUCAUUUCCUCAAGACGGGAACAUGUCAUCCUGCCAGGAGGCUCUCUAAACAGGAAGGUAAGCAACUCAAUAUAGUCCAUGGAAACCCCUGAAACUGACCUGAUUCACUAGGCCCCUCCCUGCCAGAGUAAGCAAUAAAAGCAAGAGUUCCCCUCAGAGGGAAGGAAGCUGAGCUACAAAGACUCAUGGAAAGAAGACCAACUGAGGGACCUGGAAGGGACACUCUCCAGCCUGUUGAACUCCCUUCAGGCAGUGCUGUGUGCUCCAGGUUCCAAGAUUUGUUAAAUGUCACCCAUACUGGGGUGGCUUUAGUGAUGCAGCUGUCUUUGAGUCAUUUCUGCUCCUCUAUUGGUGAUGAGAAAAGUCUGCAGUAAAUGUCCCUGGCUUUUGAACUUCAUCUGGACCUGCUUCCUGAAGAAGCCAGCUUGCAAACACACACACUGGAGACCAGAUCCCUUGAGUGUCAGCCAGUUUGCCAGGGAAGCAAGGGGCUGGUUUCACCCUUGUAACUGGAGAGGUGGACUGUGCUUUGGCAGUGUGACUGAUUGGUGUCCUUUGUGGCUGUCUCAUGGGGAUGACUUCCUUUGCCUGUCUGUGGAGGU